rnacentral:lncRNA from 1 species
CGCGCCCCCAACCGUAUUUCCGCUGGCGCAGAGCACCGGAGAGGGAGUCUUGUGGCUGCGGUUUGCAGACUGCUCUUCGCCCCCCUCCGCGAGGUUACCCCUGUACUCGCCGCCAUCCAUCCUGACGCCCGGGAUGAGUCACUGAGGGGCAGCGCCCGAGGCGUGGUCUUACCAAGAACCCCCAGUGGCCUCCCAAGGCCGGUGCUGUGUACCUCCUUCCCGACAAAAGGGGAAACUGAGGCCCCGAGGGGAGUGGGAAGAGCCGGCCGGACGUCAGGCCCAGCCCCUGGUGCAGUGCUGCGUCCCCUCCGCCGGGGUGGGCCCCUCAGGAUUCGCGUGUCCUCGGGAAAGAGACUGGCGGGCCUCGUGGGCUGUGCGGCUCUCCUGGAGACAGAUGACAGCUCUCCCUUGGAUGACUUUGCUGGUUCCGCACCAGCCAGAGCCCCCGUUUUUCCUGCAGCACCCUGAUCUGCACUCCCUGAGGGGCUCCCACUGUCCGCGCGGUGAGGAUGUCCCUGGAUAGUCCACUGUGUGCAGAGGCAUGGGAGUUGUCAUGUCGGGAACAUGCUAGACCUUAGUGUCCUUGAGCUUGAAGAAAUUUGGCAGAACACUGGCGACCAAGCACUUGCAGCCUCCUGCUCUGUGGCCCCUCCUCACUCCAGGGAUGCCGCCUUGGUCUGGAGACUGUUGGAGGAAACCCCAGGAGGUGCAGGCACUGAGCCUCUCGAGACAAUGACCUGGGGUCCCAGCUUCCCUGGAGGGGUCUCCUCAUGGCCAGGCCAUCCAGUGGCCAUCCUCCGUGUCCUCCCGCCUGCUCCUGGUGUGACUUCUGAAAACCAAGAAUUUGUUCCUGUUGACUUUUUCUGUGCUAUGGACCAUUGUCCUCUCAUGCACUCAAUAAAUCUUGAAACAUGCCCUGCUGCUA